GACGAACGCUGGCGGCGUGCUUAACACAUGCAAGUCGAACGGAAAGGCCCUGCUUUUGUGGGGUGCUCGAGUGGCGAAUGGGUGAGUAACACGUGAGUAACCUGCCCUUGACUUUGGGAUAACUUCAGGAAACUGGGGCUAAUACCGGAUAGGAGCUCCUGCUGCAUGGUGGGGGUUGGAAAGUUUCGGCGGUUGGGGAUGGACUCGCGGCUUAUCAGCUUGUUGGUGGGGUAGUGGCUUACCAAGGCUUUGACGGGUAGCCGGCCUGAGAGGGUGACCGGCCACAUUGGGACUGGGAUACGGCCCAGACUCCUACGGGAGGCAGCAGUGGGGAAUAUGGCACAAUGGGCGGAAGCCUGAUGCAGCAACGCCGCGGGCGGGAGGACGGCCUUCGGGUUGUAAACCGCUUUCGCCUGUGACGAAGCGUGAGUGACGGUAAUGGGUAAAGAAGCACCGGCUAACUACGU
rnacentral:rRNA from 1 species